GACGAACGCUGGCGGCGUGCCUAAUACAUGCAAGUCGAGCGAAGUUUUUCUGGUGCUUGCACUAGAAAAACUUAGCGGCGAACGGGUGAGUAACACGUAAAGAACCUGCCUCAUAGACUGGGACAACUAUUGGAAACGAUAGCUAAUACCGGAUAACAGUAUUUCUCGCAUGAGAGAUAUUUAAAAGUUGGUUAUGCUAACACUAUGAGAUGGCUUUGCGGUGCAUUAGCUAGUUGGUGGGGUAAAGGCCCACCAAGGCGACGAUGCAUAGCCGACCUGAGAGGGUGAUCGGCAACACUGGGACUGAGACACGGCCCAGACUCCUACGGGAGGCAGCAGUAGGGAAUCUUCCGCAAUGGGCGAAAGCCUGACGGAGCAACGCCGCGUGAGUGAAGAAGGAUUUCGGUUCGUAAAGCUCUGUUGUUAGGGAAGAAUGGAUAUGUAGUAACUAUACAUGUAAGAGACGGUACCUAACCAGAAAGCCACGGCUAACUACGUG
rnacentral:rRNA from 1 species